UAAUUUGUUGUGGCCUUUAACAGCUUGUAAGACGUGUAUGUAAUUGGAAGUGCAAAGGAACGCUUAUUUAUAUGUAGGAAUUCAGAUGCAGAAGGUGAGUUAAUAUUUUAAAUCCCACAGCGAUGAGAUCCAUCUUCAUAUACACAUUAUUAGGCUUAUUUGGCCAGAUACCAGUCACUUUUUUUAAAUAGCAACAGUCAAAAUAAGGUAUUACUGUAAAUCCAAGUUUUGUUCUGCAUUGUGAAUUAAAAGUGUGACACUCAUCAGUCACUUUGCCUUCCGAGUAACUUCAUAUAGUGUUAUUUUAACCUGCACCUUGUAGUUUGAGAUAAUUGAUUAAAUUUUUUUUUUUUGACCAGACAUACACUCUUACUGGUCUCACAAAAUCAAAAGCCCAUCUAGUUACUAUGGCUGUUCUUAAUAAUAGUAAUGAUGGAACAUAGCACAAGAAAAGACUUUUUUUUUCCCUGACUCUUCGGCACAUUUCUGAUUCAGAAUCGAAGCGUGGAUUUAGCUUACUUUGAGGUACAGAGAACAGAUAGAUAGCUUCACCUCACAUCCACUGCAGAUCUGUUUCUUUGCUGAAUUGAUAUGGAGAGAGUGUAUACGGAAGUCUAAAGUUACAACACAUUUCAUGCCUUUUUCCAGAAGUCUUCAUAUUUCGUAGUAUUUUAUGACAAGCUUGGACAGCAAAGGACCCCUUGUAGGUAGAUGGCAAGCUGUAUAAUUUUUGUGAGGUCUGGAGUGAAAAGUUCUUCAAACUGCUUGAAGUUUGCAAGCACAUGGAAGUGUCAUUAUUUUGGUUCUAUAAUCUGUGAGUUAAGAAGGGUUUAAAGCCCCAAUAUGUUGGAAGUGUACAGUGAUUUCAAUGAAAGGCCAAGUUGAGGGCUGUUUUACAUCUGUAACAACCUCCACGUAUCUCCUCUACACCAUCCCUUGUUGUCUUGGGGCAACAUUGUAGGGCUGAACAGAGCUAGAGAGAGGAAGGAUAAUCAGGACUGUGUAUCCAUGACGGAUAUGGUUCUCUAAUUUUUUUCAGUUCUUUGAUAUUUUCUAUUUUCCCAAUUCUUCCUUUCUUCCUCUUCAUUCUAGAGCAUAGUUCUUGAAUUUCUUGUCUUGAAAUCUGCAAGAACCAUUUCCCACUACCUAUUUCCCAUCUGUGAAGUGACUCUAAGACAUCAUGCUGUUGUUACUGGUGUUUGGGGUGAGGGAUUAUUUAAUGUACUUCUGUGAUGCCUACUCAUUCAGCUUUCGUUGUAAAUGUGGUGACUCUUGCCUUGGUGGACUUCAUUGUUCAGAGGAGAGAAGUUGUGUGCAUUUCUGCUUCAAAAUACAUACAUUGUGAAAUACUUACACUGCAGUUAGGUUCAAGGCAAAGGCAGGGCACGUGAUCAGCACUACUCUUGGCAGCAUGUUUUACCCUUCUCUGAAAGUCCCACUUCAGUGCAUUAAAUUGCAUGCAUGUGCACUCUUUCUCUCUGGUCAGGUCCAAGUAAAGGACUUUCCAAGGUUGCGUGUGUUAAGAUUGAACAUAAUUCUUUGCAGCAGCAUAAUAGUCACUUACUUGAGAAGGCACGAAUGAUAUAACAGUAGUGCUGAGUUGACUUGGUGACAGCAGCUGAAACAAUGUAGUCUCAGCAAAAAAAACCCAACUUGUUAGUAUCAGAAAUUACAUCUCAUUAAGCUUGCAGCUGCCUUUCUAAAAAAUAGAUAAGGUCUCUGGUAGGAAAAUAUUUUCUUUCUAUAACCUUUGCAUUGCUUUGCAAUAAACAAAUCUCUCCUUAGAGCACUGCUAAAUGUUCAGGUGUUGCAGGUUACGUAUGGUGAGCCUGUCUUUAAAUUAACUGAUUAAAAAAUACUUGGCAGAGAGCAUUUGAAGGACUUGAGGAUUUUGUUGUUCAUCGUACAUGAGCAGUUGAUGCUUAAUACACUUUUGUAACCUACUAUUUGUUUGAAUUAACUUUUGUGUACCCGUUUGAUCUGCAGAAUGUUACUUGAUUCAGACUUUCCCAAGACACUGCAAACUUCUAAAACUUUUUUUUACACUCAUGUAAAAAUCCUUUAUAUGACUUUGCCUUAGCUUAACCUGCUCUGACACUUCCACUUGUCUUUGUAACCUCAAAACUGAAUUCUCAGCUGUCAUUCCUCAUACGAAAAGCUCUGAAUCAGGCAUGUCACGAAGGGGGGGAUAUAACAGGGAGCAGGACAGGGCCUCGGGGAAGGAGCUUGUAUCAUGUACAGAGGAAAUCCUGGGUGGCAGCGUGCUGCUCUAGAUAGAGUUUUUGGUGGUUUUUUUGGGUAGUUGUUUUGAAAGUUUGCUACACAAAUAAUUUAAAGCGUUUUGUAAACACACUUCUGUUGUUGUCUAAGUAUUUGCUUUUUGGAUAAUUCUGGGGCAAGCAGUGGGAUGAAUCCAUUCAUCCACUGAUGCUACUUCAGUCCCAGUUCUGCCUAGAAGAGAUCUGAGAGUAGGCUACGUGUUCAUUCCUGGCUAUACAAAGCAGGGAGCAGACAGCAUAAAUCUCUUCUAUUUCUUAUAUUUAAGCUUUUGUUGCUCCUGGAAAUGAAAUGGAUUCUUAAACAAUCUCAGAAAACUGGUUUAAAGAAAAAAAAAAGGGGGUGCUAGAAAACAAACAGGCAGAUGCCUUUCUAGCAAGCUGAUAGGUGCUGGCAAAAGAGUAGACAGAGAUUUCUCAUUAGGCAGACAUUUAAUUCAGAAUGUGUUUAUAGCCAAUCUAAGUGGUCUGCAGCUCUGCAGAAGGUACAUCAUAGCAAUUCAGUCUGCAGAUGACAGACACAGAUAACUGGUGGAGCCUUUGAGAAAACUGCUUAGAAUUUUACAGCCUGUAGCAUUUGGGGGAGAAAACUGAUAGCUACUAUGUGACUCAAUAGAAUGCUUAACAAUUGGUGGCAGAUUUGAGCUUUCUGGUUGGACUGUUGAUAAUUGCUACCUUAAUUUGAUCUAGGUGACCUGGGGAGAUUAUGAUUUCCAAAACAGGCUCUGCUUUCAUUGAUGAAGAAUGUGACCUUGGACUACAGCUUUCAGAGUGCAAGACAGUUUCAGAUGAGUUUUAGAUAAUAGGAGAAAUCUGCACGCUUCUUCAAUUUAAAAAAAAAAAGCCCCAAAACGAAAAGACGGUCAAAACGAAAAAUCCCCUCCAAAACAAAAUGAGCAGCUGCUUCUUAACGGUGUGUGGAUUUCUGACAAGAAAAUAAACAUUAAUGGAUCUCCACCAAUAGUCUUACAAACUAGCACAUCAAUUUAGCAACAACAUAAAUGUGCACACUUCACUGCAUCUAUUUUAUUUUUACAAGAAGUGGCCGGCUAAGAUAAGCUCCUACACUCAAGAAUUUAUCAGAUAUGUAAUAGUCUGUACUGUAGCUUCAAAAUGGGGUCACUUUCCUAUGUCUUAUCUGUCUUAUCUAAGAAGUUAAAUAAAUAAUUUUUAUAUUUAUUAAUAGAGCAGGAGCUACCAACUUCCCGAUAAAUAUUUUUGGGUUGGGCUUGGUGAGCAAGGCACUCCUGGAAGUGAAUGAUAAAUAAAGAGCAGUCAACAUCAUAAAGAAGCAAAAUGGCAGUACUUAAUUAGGAACCUUGCAGUGGCUAGUAUUAAGACACAGGUAUGGGAAGAAAUUAUCCACUUGUUUUGUCAUAGUGGAUGGUGUGUUACCCUCUCACCUCUGCAAACUGGGAGAUGAGGUCCUUACCCUACGUAAGCACAGGGAAUGUUGUAUGAAGAGCCAUUAGUUUGUUUGGUUCAGUACCAAAGCAGUAUUUUCAAAUACUGUGCUUUCAUAGAGGUGGUGCAGAAGACUUAAAGAUUCCACUUUCUGGUAAGCAGCAUUUUCUCUCGGUCCAAUCAGUUUUUCCUUUUAACCUAAAAGAAUAAUUUCAGCUUCCCAAAUUUCAACAGUACCUUCCAUCUUCCUCUCUCAGGUUUCAACCCCAAACAUCUGUGAAGAACGCAUGAAAAACCUAAGCAAUGUGUUCUCAAAGGCACUACUUAUUAUAGGAUGAAAUAAUGUAAUCAG